CCUACGGGAGGCAGCAGUGGGGAAUAUUGGACAAUGGGGGGAACCCUGAUCCAGCCAUGCCGCGUGUGUGAAGAAGGCCCUCGGGUUGUAAAGCACUUUCAGUGAGGAAGAACGCCUGGUGGUUAAUACCCAUCAGGAAAGACAUCACUCACAGAAGAAGCACCGGCUAACUCCGUGCCAGCAGCCGCGGUAAUACGGAGGGUGCGAGCGUUAAUCGGAAUUACUGGGCGUAAAGCGCGCGUAGGUGGCUUGAUAAGCCGGUUGGGAAAGCCCCGGGCUCAACCUGGGAACGGCAUCCGGAACUGUCAAGCUAGAGUGCAGGAGAGGAAGGUAGAAUUCCCGGUGUAGCGGUGAAAUGCGUAGAGAUCGGGAGGAAUACCAGUGGCGAAGGCGGCCUUCUGGACUGACACUGACACUGAGGUGCGAAAGCGUGGGUAGCAAACAGGAUUAGAUACCCGAGUAGUC
rnacentral:rRNA from 1 species